rnacentral:rRNA from 1 species
GACGAACGCUGGCGGCGUGCCUAAUACAUGCAAGUCGAACGCAGUGGGGACGGGUGAGUAACACGUGGGUAACCUCCCAUCAGAGGGGAUAACACUUGGAAAAAGGUGCUAAACCGACAUUGAUGGGUGGACCCGCGGUGUAUUAGCAUGUUGGUGAGGGAACGGCUCACCAAGGCCACGAUGCAUAGCCGACCUGAGAGGGUGAUCGGCCACACUGGGACUGAGACACGGCCCAGACUCCUCCGGGAGGCAGCAGUAGGGAAUCUUCGGCAAUGGACGAAAGUCUGACCGAGCAACGCCGCGUGAGUGAAGAAGGUUUUCGGAUCGUAAAACUCUGUUGUUAGAGAAGCGGUAUCUAACCAGAAAGCCACGGCUAACUACGUGCCAGCAGCCGCGGUAAUAC